GUGUCCAUCUGUCCGUCUGUCCCCGCAGAUCCCAUCCAGCAGCCGCGGUUGGAGUCCCGGGUCCUGGCUCGGGAUCCGGGCUGGUGCCUCCUGUCCCUGCUCUGCUCCAGCCCCGGGAACGUCUCCUACAGCUGGGAAUGUCCCGGGGAGCCCCCGGAACCCCCGGAAUUCCCGGAAUUAUCCCCAAAAUCCCCGGAAUUAUCCCCGGAAUCCCCGUCCCGCCUCACCCGGAGGGUCCUCGAGGACGCGAAACCCCAAAGUUGCGUCUGCAACGUCAGCAACGCCUUGGGCUGGGACGUGGCCAGCACCCCCCUCACCUGCCCAGGAAUUCCCGGGAAUUUCGGCCCCUGGAUAGCGGCGGCCGCGGCCGUGGGGCUGCUCCUGCUCCUGGCGGGCGGCGUCUGCUGCUGGAAGCGGAGCAAGAAUUCCCGGGAAGAGCCCCCCGGAGCCCCCCCAGAGCAGCCCCUGACCAUCUACGCCGAGGUGGGAGAGAGGAAACCCCGCCAGGACCCCAUCGGGAGCAGCGAGGCUGCCCGGGAAGGAGCCACCGUCUACGCCGUGGUCACUCCCAGGACACUGGAGCAUCCCAGGCACCAGGAAGAAUCCGGGAAUUUCACCGUUUACUCCACGGUCCAGUUUGGACGGAGGGUGAGGAUCACCCGGAGUGACCCCGACUUUCAGGGAUGCCAAAUUCCCAAAGUUUUGGGAAUCCCAAAUCCCCAGUUUUUAGGAAUCCCAAA
rnacentral:lncRNA from 1 species